GGCACUGACUGGGUACUGGUGAAGUUCCCCGCAGGAACUGAGUCAGACCCCAUCUCAGGGCCCUGCAGAAGAUAGGUGCCUGCUCUAAGGCGUGGACCCUCGCGACAGCCCUGGCCCGUCUUGACGGGCGAGGGUUACUGUACUUGUCCCAAUCGUACAGAUGAGAAAGCUCAGACUCAGGGCCAGCAACCCCGGUCCCAGCGGAGCGCCCGGCACGCGCCGACACUUCAGCACCAGUCGCGGUGGCCACCACUGUGCGCGGAGAUGGCUGCGACGCGUGCGCAGAUCUCGAUCCCAAACUCCCUCCUGCCAGAAUCUGGACCCGAAUCCACCCAUUGCCCAUUUUCCGCUGCCGCUGGAGAGAAUCUCUGAGGUCCCCAGGACAGCCUGCCUGCACGGAAGAGAUGCCUCCUCAGUAUGGCCGCCCCCGGAGAGGAGCGAUUAAGUGCAGACCCCCAUGUUGCUCUUGAGCCUGAGCGGCUUCAGGGAGCCAUGUUUGUUACUGGCGGGCGCCGGCCUCACUGAGCAUGUGCAGCCCUGGCCGGGCGGCCUCAAAGUUCUGACAUCACAGGGCGGUUCCUGAAGUGGACGUAGUUGUAAGAGCUAGUUAUUUUAGACAAUGCCUCUGGGAUCAGGGACUCUAAUCUGGAAAUAGGUAGUGGGAGAGGUCGGUGAUGCUGUCUCGGGGUCAGAGACCUGAGCUAUAUGGGGUUAGAGAGGGGCCCUGGGCAGGCGAGUCUCUGGGGAGUGUGGUGAGAAUCCUUGUGUAAGAUGCUGGGAGGAGGUGGGGUCAGGGCUGGGGUCCGUGGGCCGACGGGUUGGGGGAUGGCCAGCGUCAGGGAUCAGUAGUAGAGAUUCUAUGUGCCCUGAUCGCCAGUAGAGGUUUUAAAUACAGAGUAUUCAUGAGUUUAGCAAUGUUAUUCGCCUCUCAUAAUUUAAAUAAUUUGAAGUUUUCCCCCAGUAACUAGUGUCUUAGAAGUCAUGAAAAUUUCAGAAAAUGACAGGUCUUCUGAGUUCGUGAUGGGAGUUGGGCAGCAGUCGCAUACGAGCACCUGGAGAGUCCUUGCCAGUUCUUUGGGGAUGGGGAGCUCUUAAGACUGCCCUGAGACCGCCCUUUGACCUCAUUAUGGUCCUUUCUAGAUUAAAUGCUGUUUUCCAUGACCGUCUCUGUUCUUCCCAUACGCGAAUGGCAGGCAUCCAGAUCUCCAAGAAUAGAGGAUUAGGAGAGACUCCACCACCUAUGUCCUCACAGUUAAUUAUCGAUUUGUGUCACUUGCCCAUUUUCUCACUUCCUGUUUGUGUGUCAAGGAGUAUUAAUAAAUCUUUGCCUAUUUAAAGAUACUAGCCUUGGAUUUUCAAAUAUUGCAUAUUUUGACAUGUAAAAAUGUGUUAGUUUUAUUUUUUCAACCGAUCUGACCUGUAUAGUUGGGCUUGAGGAAGCUUCCUCAUUGUACAUGUUACUAUGGAUUUUCUAAUAUUAACACAGGGUUGUAUUUUUUCCAUAUAACUUUCUAUUGAAUUUCUUUUUCCAUAUGAUAGGUGGUGAAGGUUUAGCCCAGUAAAGCAGAGAGGUUAAGAGGUUAGACUGGGGGCUCUGGAGCCAGACCUAUGUAGAUCUGAGUCCUGGCUCUGGCACUUGAAAGCCGUGUGACCUUGGUUAAGAUACUUAGCCCCUCUCUGCCAAAUGGAGAAAUAAGGGCACCUACCCCGUAGGGUAGUUGUGUGAGUACACAAGUUAAUACACUUCAAUCACUAGCAAGAAAGUGAAUGUCAAGCUGUAUUUGUUCAGGCAGCCAUAUGGUAGCCCCACCUCAUUAGUAAACUGAGGUAUUGAAGUAUCUUCUUUUUCUUUCAGAAAAUAUUUGUCAAGCACCUUCUGUGUUCUAAGAACUGUUCUAGAGCUUUGCAUGCUAUGGAGGUCUAGAAAUUCACAUUAUGGUGGCAGGUGACAGACAAUACAAAGAGGUAAAGCAAUUUCAUAUAGUGAUAACCUAGGGAGGCGUGCUAAAAGGAGCCAAGGUGUAGUGGUGACUGGAAGGUGACCAGGGAAACCACUGUAGGGUUUCUAACUGAUGAGAUCUGUGACAAAUCCCUGUGGUCAGCAGCAGGCAUUGGAUAUGUAACUUUAUUCUGUCCCAUUGAUCUUGUAGUCAACCCUGGUCUGUUCUGUAUUGUUUUAAUUACAUAAUCUUUGUAAUAAUCUUUAAUACCUGGUGGAGUGCUCUGUUUACUUAUUUCUGCAUAAUUAACCACCCCUAAGCUUAACUUACUCAUGGUUCUGCAGGAUGACUGCUCUCCAUGGUUCUAGGGGUUUCUGCAUGGGGCCUCUCACAUGUGCUACAGUCAAACAUUAGCCGGGGCCACAGUCAUCUGAAACUCACUUACACGGCUGACAAUUGAUGUUGGCUGUUGCCUGGAGAAGACAUAUGUGGCCUGGUGGAAUGGAAUGGUGACUAGAUUCAAGAAAGAGCUUCCCAGGAGCAAGGCUACCAAGAGACCGAAGUAGAGGCUUCAGUUUCUUUAAAAAAAAAAAAAAAAA
rnacentral:lncRNA from 1 species